rnacentral:rRNA from 1 species
CCUACUGGGGGCAGCAGUGGGGAAUAUUGGACAAUGGGCGAAAGCCUGAUCCAGCCAUGCCGCGUGUGUGAAGAAGGCCUUCGGGUUGUAAAGCACUUUCAGUGGGGAAGAAAGCCUUGGGGCUAAUACCCUCGAGGAAGGACAUCACCCACAGAAGAAGCACCGGCUAACUCCGUGCCAGCAGCCGCGGUAAUACGGAGGGUGCGAGCGUUAAUCGGAAUUACUGGGCGUAAAGCGCGCGUAGGCGGUCUGAUAAGCCGGUUGUGAAAGCCCCGGGCUCAACCUGGGAACGGCAUCCGGAACUGUCAGGCUAGAGUGCAGGAGAGGAAGGUAGAAUUUCCGGUGUAGCGGUGAAAUGCGUAGAGAUCGGGAGGAAUACCAGUGGCGAAGGCGGCCUUCUGGACUGACACUGACGCUGAGGUGCGAAAGCGUGGGUAGCAAACAGGAUUAGAUACCCUUGUAGUC